AGCGAACGCUGGCGGCAGGCUUAACACAUGCAAGUCGAGCGGGCCCUUCGGGGUCAGCGGCGGACGGGUGAGUAACGCGUGGGAACGUGCCCUCUGGUCUGGAAUAACCCUGGGAAACUAGGGCUAAUACCGGAUACGCCCUUUUGGGGAAAGGCUUGCUGCCGGAGGAUCGGCCCGCGUCUGAUUAGCUAGUUGGUGGGGUAACGGCCUACCAAGGCGACGAUCAGUAGCUGGUCUGAGAGGAUGAUCAGCCACACUGGGACUGAGACACGGCCCAGACUCCUACGGGAGGCAGCAGUGGGGAAUAUUGGACAAUGGGCGCAAGCCUGAUCCAGCCAUGCCGCGUGAGUGAUGAAGGCCUUAGGGUUGUAAAGCUCUUUUAUCCGGGACGAUAAUGACGGUACCGGAGGAAUAAGCCCCGGCUAACUUCGUGCCAGCAGCCGCCGCAG
rnacentral:rRNA from 1 species